GACGAGCCUCACAAACGUUUAUUCGGAAUUACUGGGCGUAAAGGGCGCGUAGGCGGCCUUCUAAGUCGAACGUGAAAUCCCCGGGCUCAACCCGGGAACUGCGUCCGAGACUGAAAGGCUCGAAUCCGGGAGAGGGAUGUGGAAUUCCAGGUGUAGCGGUGAAAUGCGUAGAUAUCUGGAGGAACACCGGUGGCGAAGGCGGCAUCCUGGACCGGUAUUGACGCUGAGGCGCGAAAGCCAGGGGAGCAAAGCGGGG
rnacentral:rRNA from 1 species